AACGAACGCUGGCGGCAUGCCUAACACAUGCCAGUCGAACGAGACCUUCGGGUCUAGUGGCGCACGGGUGCGUAACGCGUGGGAACCUGCCCUUAGGUUCGGAAUAACUCCCCGAAAGGGGUGCUAAUACCGGAUAAUCUCUUCGGACCAAAGAUUUCUCGCCUUUGGAUGGGCCCGCGUUGGAUUCGCUAGUUGGUAGGGUAAAAGCCUACCAAGGCGACGAUCCAUAGCUGGUCUGAGAGGAUGAUCAGCCACGCUGGGACUGAGACACGGCCCAGACUCCGACGGGAGGCAGCAGUAGGGAAUAUUGGACAAUGGGCGAAAGCGUGAUCCAGCAAUGCCGGGUAAGUGAUGAAGGCCUUAGGGUUGUAAAGCUCUUUUACACGGGAUGAUAAUGACAGUACCGGGAGAAUAAGCUCCGGCUAACUCCGUG
rnacentral:rRNA from 1 species